CACACCGCCCGUCGCUACUACCGAUUGAAUGGCUCAGUGAGGCUUUCGGACUGGCCCAGAGGAGUCGGCAACGACACCUCAGGGCCGGAAAGUUAUCCAAACUCGGUCAUUUAGAGGAAGUAAAAGUCGUAACAAGGUCUCCGUUGGUGAACCAGCGGAGGGAUCAUUAUAGAGUAUAAAAACUCCUAAACCCCUGUGAACAUACCUAUUGUUGCCUUGGCGGCGCCCCUCGCGGGGACCGCCGAAGGCCCCCUAAACUCUUGUUUUACUUUGCAACUCUGAAUCUAAAAACAAAUAAGUUAAAACUUUCAACAACGGAUCUCUUGGUUCUGGCAUCGAUGAAGAACGCAGCGAAAUGCGAUAAGUAAUGUGAAUUGCAGAAUUCAGUGAAUCAUCGAAUCUUUGAACGCACAUUGCGCCCAUUAGUAUUCUAGUGGGCAUGCCUGUUCGAGCGUCAUUAAUACCAUUAAGCCCCGUAGCUUAGCGUUGGGAGCCUGCUGGCGCGAGCCUGCAGCUCCUCAAAAAUAGUGGCGGAGUUAGCGUAUACUCUAGGCGUAGUAAUUUUUCACUCGCUUCUGUGUUGCGCUGGCGCCUGCCGUGAAACAGCCCAAUUUUUAAAGGUUUGACCUCGGAUCAGGUAGGAAUACCCGCUGAACUUAAGCAUAUCAAUAAGCGGAGGAAAAGAAACCAACAGGGAUUGCCCUAGUAACGGCGAGUGAAGCGGCAACAGCUCAAAUUUGAAAUCUGGCCCUAGCGGUCCGAGUUGUAAUUUGUAGAGGAUGCUUUUGGCGCGGUGCCUUCCGAGUUCCCUGGAACGGGACGCCUUAGAGGGUGAGAGCCCCGUACGGUUGGACACCAAGCCUCUGUAAAGCUCCUUCGACGAGUCGAGUAGUUUGGGAAUGCUGCUCUAAAUGGGAGGUAAAUUUCUUCUAAAGCUAAAUACCGGCCAGAGACCGAUAGCGCACAAGUAGAGUGAUCGAAAGAUGAAAAGCACUUUGAAAAGAGGGUUAAAUAGCACGUGAAAUUGUUGAAAGGGAAGCGUUUGCGACCAGACCUUUUCCUAGCGGAUCAUCCGGUGUUUUCACCGGUGCACUUCGCUAGGUUUAGGCCAGCAUCGGUUUCUGUGGGGGGAUAAAAGCUCGGGGAACGUGGCUCCCUCGGGAGUGUUAUAGCCCCUUGCAUAAUACCCUCACGGGGACCGAGGACCGCGCUUUUGCAAGGAUGCUGGCAUAAUGGUCGUCAACGACCCGUCUUGAAACACGGACCAAGGAGUCGAACAUUUGUGCGAGUGUUUGGGUGUUAAACCCUCACGCGUAAUGAAAGUGAACGGAGGUGAGAGCCCUUACGGGUGCAUCAUCGACCGAUCCUGAUGUCUUCGGAUGGAUUUGAGUAAGAGCAUAACUGUUCGGACCCGAAAGAUGGUGAACUAUGCGUGGAUAGGGUGAAGCCAGAGGAAACUCUGGUGGAGGCUCGCAGCGGUUCUGACGUGCAAAUCGAUCGUCAAAUCUGCGCAUGGGGCGGAAAGACUAAUC
rnacentral:rRNA from 1 species